CUUUGGUUUUUUAGUUGCAAUAGCCUUUGUACUCCACGUAAUGACAGGUAUGUAGUAAACAGGUGGCGUCCACCUGAGGCAUGCGGAGCAUUGCCGCAGGCAUUUCGCGGUUGAUCUAUCCGGCUGCUUCCUUUCCAGUGGCAGUGUAUUUCUUGCCUCCAAGGAAGCAGCGCUAGGAGGGACGCGCACUUGCGUUACGGACACAACCCUAUUCAAAGAAAGAACCGUCUCGAAAUCGUCGGGCCACGCCAACGUGGCAGUUUACGUUAGAAAAACGUGAAGCCGCCUGUGCACGCACAGCGCCUCACGCUCCCGAUGUGACGACGUCCAACGCAUGGGGAAGAACCGGCGACAGGGCUUGGAUGCAUUCCCGAACAGCCUGUGGGCUCCCCGGCAGUCCAAAGACCAACGCUCGAGCACCGCAGUCGCAAACAGACUGCGCAUCUGGUUGAUCUCCGGUUCCUGGCUCCACAACGUCAUGUGGAGUCCACCCAGCGGGCAGUUGCUUUCCGUGACAUUCGCCUGCCUGUGUGGCCCACGCGUCGCGGGAUCUGUGCACAUCUUUAGCCGCCUGUCUUGUGCAUGUGACAAUACCUGCACAUGGGCGGCCUAGUGCCGCCAUUGGGGUGCACGUGAGAGACUCUUGCAUGAGCAAAUGCUCGAGGCCGCUACAUCGAACUGAGAAGAGCGGCAGCAAAGACUGCGGGGUGACGUCACGUACAGAAAGGCCCGUUCCACCGCAAACGAAGAUGAGACACGGGCGGACGGUCUGGUCCGCUGGCUCGUCGCCACAUAUCGCGUUACCAGAACCCAUGGCCUGCGAUCGAGGAUUCGUGUAUCGACAAACAAGGGACAGGACUGCUUCCUGAAUUGCGUCCCGUUCAUCUGGGACCACCCGAGUCGCGAAGUGGCCUCCGUGAACGAGUUCCCUCUCCGUCCCGACAGUUUUUUCGCUCUCGACUGGAUCUCCGUUGAGGUGCACGAGCUCGGCGAGCCCAGGAGAGGACCGAAGGGUGGUCAGCGCCGCCUCAACGCAGGCGUCCUUCAUGGUGCCCCCAGAACACCGGUCGGAAACGACAACAACGCCAAGAAAGCACGUGCGUUUUUCUGGCGCCUUGCCCAGCGCAUGGCGAUGGGAGUGAUGCUUCGUGAGGACGGCCGUCUGUCCACGGUCGCCUGUCCUCGAUCGAGUGUCCUGCCCUAGACUGCUUCCCGAGGUGGACGUUCUCUGGGCACUCGCGGGCCAGAAGUCAGACGCGUGGACGCCAGCCUGCUGGGGUCGUAUGCGUUCGGAAGCCUCGCGGCUACGCGACUCUCCGCACCUGCAACGACCGACUGAGUAGCUCAAAGAGGACUCUCUUUCAAUACCGGCUGGCCGGCCUUGGGCGCGUUGCUGUCGCUCUUCCUGCAGCGUGAGGAGCUUCAGAAGCAUCUUUGGUGGAGCCGGAAACGGAGCGCCGAGGAGCCACGCCCACAGGACCUCGCCCGCCUCGUGCCGAUCGCGCCCCGACCUUUGCGUAGGCGGCACCAAGAGAAGAGCGUUCGCGUUUCCGCAGCAGCUCAGCAGCCGCGAACUCUGCUGGUCGCCGGUGGGGACAGCGUGGAGGUAGACCUGUUGGAGCGCGGCCUGUGAGGCGGGAAGCGACCCGUUGCGAGCGUCAGAGGAAGCGAGCGCGCCUUCGCAGGUGGGCGGGAAAAGCGAGUGCGGAACGGGGAAGUCACACAGCGACGGCUGGGCGUCGGAGUGACGCCGGCAGUCAGUGCCAGCGUUGAAGUCAACGUAGACCAGGGACCGCUGGAACUCCGGUCGGCUCGGAUCAGGCCGCAGCGGGGCGGUAAGCCCAACGGGCAGCUGCGGCGGGAGGUGGCUAGAGAGCGAAGAAGAUGGAGAAAAAGAAGAGAAAAACUGCAGUGCAGGACCGACGAGAAGGUGAAAGAGGACCCACGAACUGCAGGGAUUUCCAGGCAGCCCAAACACGAGAAGUGUCCGACAAGGAGACGCGUCCGUCGCCGUGCCUUUCGCAGAUCCUUGAAGAUCCUCCGAAGAACUUCUGUACACGCGAAGCGAAGCAACGAUCGUCGGCUUGCCGGGUUUCACGUUCAGGCGUCCAAAGUGGAUCUCCGUGUCGACACGAAAGGAACAGCAGCCUCUCGCGCAGACCGGAAGCUGACGCUCUCCCGUCGUUUCAAGUUCCGCUGAGACGCGCCCACUCCCCAGAUUUCCCUGCCGCCCGUUCUGGCGCUCCUCCUGUCGCUUCUUUGUUUCCUCUUGCAACUGCAGAAGCGCAAGUUUGAUGCAGUCGCUGUCCCCCAUGGACACGCCGCCUGUCGUGAGAAGGACGUCGACUCCGGGGUCCACGUUCGGCCCGCCAGUCGCCCCCGAUCCACUCACGUGACUCUGAGCAUCGACCUCCGUGCACCACGAGCACUCGCAGCGGACUGCUUCACCUUGUUCCCCUUGCGCUCUCGGCUGCUCUUCAGACCAGUCCGCUGGCUUCCCCCGCCUUGUGCCUGUCGCGAGGUCGAUAAGGAGCGCACGGACAGCCGCCACAUCGUCAGGCAGAAAGUGCUGCGCGAGGACGCGGACGCUCGGACACCGGUCCGUGAUGAGAGCGGCCAGAGUCGGGGAGUUGCUGUCGUAGACCUCUGCUGGUGAUCUGGAGCCGUCGCCGAGGGAGAAACGCUUGUUGGCCAGCGCGGCUGCGGGCGAGAGCGGAGGCGAGGCGCCAGCUUGAGCCGUUUCCUCGCUUGACGCCGACGCCGCGGCCUGCGAACCUCUGCUUCUCCCGCAGAGCUCUUUCUCUUGCUUCGCCCGCUGCCCAGCUCCGGCUACUCUGCUCACCAACUCGUCGCCAAUGGCCAAUGUGUGCACGUUGAGACGCCUGUACACCUCGAGUCGCCGGAUGUCGAAACUCGCCAGCAAACCCUCCUCGGCAGGUCCCACCCGCUGGCCUUGCUCCAAGAGAGGCACACCUGCUGCAACGUCGCUGCCGAUCGCGCGAAUGUUCGCUCCAGGCCUGAGGGCCGCGACGGCAGUCGGGUCCGGAAUGCACAGAGAUCUCUCAAGGUCGACGACGCAGUCUUCCACCGGCACCACAGCCUGGAACUGAGCAGGGACAGGCGCUCCCGUGGUCACAUACACGCACGUCGAGUCGGCAGAAACGUCGUUCCACGCCUCUUCCUGACACCCGUUCGCGGAUUUCGCUCUCGACCGCGAUUCUUCUCGCUGCUUCCCUGAAGCGUCUCCGACUUCUGAAGCCUGAGGACUCUUUGGAAGUUGCUGGCCACGAAAAGGCACAGCUACGCCGCCUGCUCGGACCUUCUGCACAAUCCGAAGCGCCCGACAGGAUUCGUCCCGCGCGUCUGGGGCUCGCCCAUGAGAAAUCGAGACGCUCCGCGACGCCUGUCGAAGCCCGCCGGCGUCCGGCGUUAGGCGAAUGGCAUAGCCGUCCACAAGAGAGGCGCGAAACGCAGGAAAAGGCCGGGGAGCAAUCACAGAGGUGGCUACGCGACGGUCUAGAAACGGCGGGGAAAUGUAGCACGUCAGGGGAGGCUCGCCCACGCACGGGCCGCCGAGUCGCCUCGACGCAGUCUUCUGCGAAUCGCAAGUCUCCGCACGACUCUCUUUCUCCUGAUGUCGCGCGACUUCGUUCCCUCCGGGACAAGAGGAUGCGUACUCCUCGCUGUGUGGUGGACCUGCCGAAAGUUUGGUUUUGCCUCGAAGGAGAUUGAAUCGAUGCACGUGCGAGUGGAUAAGCCGCCGAACCUCGCAGUCGACGAGGAACUGAGCCUCGCUGAGCUCCAACAUGCGGAAGCUGCUUACCUCUCGAACGAGGCCGUGGCCAUUCAUCAGGCUCGUCUCGCCUUGGCCGAGGGCGGCGUCAUGAUUCAGGCAGGCCGAGGAAGGAGAGCGACUUGACGAUGCCGGGGACCUCUUGGAGAAAUACGAAAAAUCGGCAAGGACACGGAAGGCGGUAGCUCGACUUAAUCGACGAGUCGGCCGCUCGUAGCUGGGUCGGCAUUCACCAGCAUUUAGGUGACCCUACGGAUGUCUUGAUUUCUUCGAACUGGUUCACUAGUGAGCUUGGUUUUCAGGCCGCAAAGGGAAGACAUUGUCAACCGUCGACCUCACACCAGUGUCACAGAAGCAGCUCUGUCCAUUUCCAUUGCGUGACGAGAAGCCAAACGAAAGGAAAAAGAAAAAGGGGGAUCUCGGCGAAAGGAUGUGUAUGUGCGUGUGUGCUCGCGAAAUUUGGAGCCCGGGAUACGUCCUCACCACAAGAACCGAAGAGUGCGUCUCACCCCUUUUCGCGCAGCGGGGAGUCGCAGGGGUGUCUCCCGCCCCUUCCGGGCCACUCUCAAACAAACAAGAAGGACGGCCGAGAAUGAAAAAGCGCGCCUUUGUUGUUGCAGCAUUAUCUCAGCGGCACAGCAAACGAAUAGGAGAACAGGACUGUGGGAAGAAUAAAAUAUUUGUAUGCAUGUUUCGGUGGGCCGUUUUCCCCCCCGGGUAUGACGGCAAAGUGGGUCGCAGAGACAACUGAAGGCGGACGAUCCUGCCGCCUUCGCUCGCUUCCAACGAACAGAAAAACAUCGGCAACACACCGGCUGUGUUUCUUCCAUCAAACCUCGAGCCCUUUGCAUCCUCUCGCUUUCACGUGUUACAAAACAGUUCGUCCAUGCUGCA
rnacentral:lncRNA from 1 species